rnacentral:misc_RNA from 1 species
GAUGAAGAACGUAGUGAAAUGCGAUAAGUAAUGUGAAUUGCAGAAUUCAGUGAAUCAUCGAAUCUUUGAACGCAUCUUGCGCUCCUUGGUAUUCUGAGGAGCAUGCCUGUUUGAGUGUCAUUAAAUUCUCAACUACACUGACUUUGAAUUGGUGUGGCUUGGAUUUGGGGGGAAAAUUGUUGUGGGCUUUUUGUAUAGUCUGCUCCCCUGAAAUUGAUUAGCGGUACCUUUGUGGAACUGUCUACAGGUGUGAUAAUUAUCUACAUCUUAGACAUCUGCUGGAAUGCUGCUUUCUAAACCUUACUUGUAUUGACAAUCUUGACCUCAAAUCAGGUAGGACCACCCGCUGAACUUAAGCAUAUCAAUAAGCGGAGGA